UACGGGGGGGGCAAGCGUUGUUCGGAAUUACUGGGCGUAAAGGGCUCGUAGGCGGCCAACUAAGUCGGAUGUGAAAUCCCCAGGCUUAACCUGGGAACUGCAUCCGAUACUGGAUGGCUUGAAUCCGGGAGAGGGAUGCGGAAUUCCAGGUGUAGCGGUGAAAUGCGUAGAUAUCUGGAGGAACACCGGUGGCGAAGGCGGCAUCCUGGACCGGCAUUGACGCUGAGGAGCGAAAGCCAGGGGAGCAAAACGGG
rnacentral:rRNA from 1 species